rnacentral:tRNA from 1 species
GUGGGUGUAGCUCAGUCGGUAGAGCCCUGGAUUGUGAUUCCAGUUGUCGCCGGUUCAAGUCCGGUCACCCACCCCA